rnacentral:tRNA from 1 species
GGCGCUGUGGCUUUGUUGGUCAAUGCGCCUGUCUAGUAAACAGGAGAUCCUGAGUUCGAAUCUCAGCAGCGCCU